rfam:Sphaerobolus stellatus SS14 unplaced genomic scaffold SPHSTscaffold_10, whole genome shotgun sequence.
GCCUGCUUAGCACAGUGGUAGUGCGUGUCACUUGUAAAGGUCAUGACAAGGUCGGUUGUUCAAUCCAGCCAGUGGGCA